CCCCAGAAUCAUGUCUAUCCUGAAUCGUGACUGAUAUCCCACAGCGAGUACUACCCUCCUGCAGCAACCCCUUACAGUUUCCCAGGGGAGUGUGGCCCCCCUUUCCCUCACCGCAUCAUAUUUUUCAGUUUCACUCAUUUCUCAGUUUAUGGAUUAUGGGUAUGAGCCUGUGUAAAAUACACAUUUUUUUUUGCAAACUCCAGCUUGGCUCUUCCCUGCUUCUCAUUGAUGAAGGGCUUCUUCCUUGCUUAAUGGGUCUUCACCACUGCUUCUAGGAGCCUGUCCUACCAGUACACUUAACACUUAAUGUUUUCUAUUCCUUUUGAAGGUCACUUGAGGUCAUCCUCCGAUUUGUUAGACACUGACGGAUAAGUUGAUGGUCAUCUGUGGCAUUAGAAGGUUACUUCUGCCCACUACCUGGCUGGUUUUUGAUUUUUCCCAGUGUCUCCUGCUUCUUCACCCUGUUCUUGUGUACUGCGGUCUUAGAAACUCAUGAGCAUGGAAGCAGCCUGCCUCACAGUGUAGCCUUCUGCCAGCAGAACCAGGAUUAAACCAGAAUUUAACAAUGCAGAUUUUAAAAAAGUAUAUAGAGUGGUCUCUUAAUUUUUUACAGAGCUGUGUAUUGUUUAUAUGUAUUUAUUUUAUCUUAUAGCUGCAUGUUUGAACCUGAGACCAGUUUUGAAAUGGAGUCUGUUUCAGAAUACUACAUUCACACUCCCAAAACCUUCAUAUCCCAAAUACUGCAUCAUGAAAGGUGAAAAUUGGGAGUCUGAUCGAAAACCAAAAUCAAGCUGCUGCUGUGAGCUCCUGCUGAGCACCCUGCUUGGAGGCAUGUACACUCGACGGACGCUACGGAGUGUUCCAGUGACUGCCCACUAGUACAUAUCUGCUAGACUCGACACUCGCCGUACCGUACACCAGACAAAGCAAAAAAGCAUAACACAGUGAAGUGAACAGUGACUUCUAUCAUCUAUAUUGUCCUCAGUAGGUGUUAUGAUGCUGACAUGUCACUGAACGUGUCAACCAAUGUAGUCCAUAUCUGGUUUGAUGUCUUACUCCUGGGGAUACCUGCAUUUCCAGGGAUACAUUGAACUGCUUAUAGACUUUUCACAUUUCCCUUCGUCUUCAUCAAAUAGUUUCUCAAUUGGAUUUCUACAGAAGAGCAGACCUUGAUUUCUUUGGACAACCUGUGCUUAAAGCAUGUGACUGAAAAUUAUUAUUCUUAGAGACGGAGAAAUAUGCGUCUUCUCUGUUCAUUCCCAGAAUAAGGAGUGAAAUACAGGCAAUCUACAGCCCAAGGAAGGCAGACAACUGCCUCUAUGUGAUUACAUUGUCGACACUAUGUGAACUAUAGACAAGGUCUCACUUAGAUGCAGUUCUCCUUGAUGUAGCUGGGUUUGAUUUGUGGCUGGUGUGUAGCUGGCCUCUGAGAUGUCGCUCAUGACCCUGUUCAGCGCAGGAAACAUCCAUCAGUGAGCAGGAAGGUGUUCCUUAGGUUUUGCAGACUUUACACAAGAGUUUAUCUCCCAAAAUCAGUCUAAUAAAAUUAUAGCAUGUUUUUUACUUACAGGGAUUCAGGCUCAGCGUAAACUUUUCAGCUAUUCAGUUAAACACCAAUGGAUAGAUAAAAAAAAAACAUAGCAAUUAUAACAUCAAAUUUCGUUUCUAAAUUAUACUGAAUAAUGAACCAACAUCAUGAAAACCAUUAAUCAUAAGAAAUCAGGAACAAAUCAAACAACUAGCGUUUGAAAACAGCACGUAAAAAUAUGUGUAAAAAAAUGGUUCUCUGCUGGCCAGAGAAACAUUCUAUUAAAAAUGCAUACAAAUCUAUUUUUGCAGGUAGAAUGUGUGUUUGUGUACAUUGUUACACAAUGUUGUUAAAGCUAAGAAUCAAAAUAGUGUGUAAAUAUCCAGUCUGACAUCACUAGUGAUGCCCACAGCAGCUCUACUCCUGUGUCCCGUUUAGCCGCCUCAGCUUGGUGCCUCACAGUCGGCGGCUCCAGGCCUCUCAGCACUGAGCACUCAGAGGCUCCCUUGCUGAUGAGCAAAGGGCUGGCAGGCAGAAGACCUGCCAUGUGGGUGUGUGCAGGUCGGCUGUGACCUUCUGCCUCUGUCUGUGCACCUUGUCGAUAAACUCUUAGGUCACUCAGGGUACAAGGCUGGGGGCACCAUGGACAGGAUGCCAGUCGAUCAAAAUAAAUAAACAUAAAUAAAUGCUAAAAGUACAAUGAAUGUAGGUGGAUAUGAGCAGCUGUACAGUCAUGAAGUCCAUCAGAACGUGUCUCCAUAUGAUCUCCAUCUGAGGCCCCACACUGACUUUGACCAGCUGUGUUUGUGCUUUUCUUGCUCACAACCAAAUUCCCCAGAGAUUCAAUAUUUCAGUAGGAUGUAUGAAAGCAACUGUGAUGUCAUCAGCUACAGAGUAACUGAGGGCUCUCUUCUGUCAGAAUGCUUACAGUAACACAGCUGCAGUGGUAAUGAUGAGAUCUCACCCUCUGUUAAUCUUAAGCUUAAGUAUUAAGAAUUGUUUGUUCAUAAGUAAAUAAACUUUCUCUAUGUGCCUUUUCCAUCUCAUCUCCAUGGGCUUUAUCAUAUUGACAUAAACGUUUUAAAUGUGUCAAAGACUUAUGGUUUUAUAUAGUGUUUUCUCUUUCUCUUUCACUGGGUAAAAUACUGAAGUGUCCUUAUGGUAAAACUUCCUUUUACUAUAUGUGGCAGGUUUAGUGUGUAAAUCUUCCGGAACAUCAGCACCUGCACUGUAGUAUCACUCCUCCUGUCCUUUAAUACUACAAAGGGCAUUUCAUACUCCACCCCUGUGCAAAUGAGUCCCUGUUUCCUUCCUCCCUCCUCAUUUAAACAGCACAUU